GGUCUUGUGGCGCAAUGGAUAACGUGCCUGACUACAGAUCAGAAAAUUCCCGGUUCCAAUCCUGGCAAACUCG
rnacentral:tRNA from 1 species